rnacentral:rRNA from 1 species
AUUGAACGCUGGCGGCAGGCCUAACACAUGCAAGUCGAGCGGAUCGCCGGACGGGGGCGUAAUGCCUAGGAAUCUGCCUGUUAGUGGGGGAUAACGUCCGGAACCGGGCGCUAAUACCGCAUCCUAUCAGCUGAGCCUAGGUGGGAUUAGCUAGUGGGUGGGGUAAAGGCCUACCAAGGCGACGAUCCGUAACUGGUCUGAGAGGAUGAUCAGUCACACUGGAACUGAGACACGGUCCAGACUCCUACGGGAGGCAGCAGUGGGGAAUAUUGGACAAUGGGCGAAAGCCUGAUGCAGCCAUGCCGCGUGUGUGAAGAAGGUCUUCGGAUUGUAAAGUACUUUAAGUUGGGAGGCGUUACCAACAGAAUAAGCACCGGCUAACUUCGUGCCAGCAGCCGCGGUAAUAC